CAGCGUGCGCUCGCCGUUUUUCUCGCCGAUUUGCCGCUCGCCGGCUGCAAUGGUUCGGCGAGCGGACCGGCCAGCGCCGAGAAUCGGCUAGCCGGUCCGCUCGCCGCCAUUGUGGAUGCUCUAAGAUUCAGCCAAACUGUUCCAUUACAACUUUCAUCAUCAGAGAAUCAAAACAAAACUGCCACAAGUAGGAAAGCUCAACCACAAGCUCAUUGAUCAAGGCCCAAAGAGCCAGCCAAGAGAGGGAAUCUAUUUCCCCUGAAUUUCACCAAAUAGGUAACAACACUUGGAUUAGAACAUAGUAGAGAUGAGGUGACAGCCCCUAAAUGGAAGGAACUCUCCCCAAAAAUUCAGGCACAAGAUGCCAAGAAUGAGAACUAUAUAAGCUGCCUUCACCCCUCCUCUCUCCCCACCACUUCGGCACCAUAAGCUUUAUACAACACCAACGAGUGCAGCAAGGGGAAGGCAGAGGAGCAGGGCGAAUUCCACGAAUGGACCUCCUGGGAGAUGGGGCCUUGCUCAAGUACGAACAAUAUUGAAAAUGAGUGGUUUCAGCAAGAAAGGAAGGAAAUCCCCUCAUGAACAAGGAAAAUGUGAUUGGUUUUGUAUGAUGAUAAUUUAAAAGAAAGGAAAAGCAAAAUUGAAUGACUACUGCAAUCAAAUGAAGACAACUCCAACAACAACUCAUUGUCAAUCGACGCAAACUAUUUAAUUCAAACAUCAAUGGUGCCACUUAUUUCUUCCUAUUUCCCACUUUAGAUCAGCACCAGUGGCGGACACAGUAAGGAGCAAUGAGGAGCUUAAGCCCUUCCCAAAUGUUUUAUUUUGAUGUUUUUCUUCUUCUAAAUUUUUAAAAAUUUCCAAAAUUUAGCUAUAGCCCUCCUAAGAUUUUGCCGUAGGAGAGUAUAUUGUCGAGUUUUAAUGAGUGAAAGGGGCUGAAAAAUCUGUAAAUCGGAGAGUUGCAGAAAAAAAAUGGUUGUUGCAAAUCGCAACUUGAAGAAGACGACUGGUUGUAGACUUGUAUAGUAUAAUUAAGUAUUACUCCCUCCGUGAAUCAACCCACUUUCUAUUAAAUGCUGCAGACCCUCUUAAAUGCUCUCUACUUAAUAUCUUCAAAAUACUACUACUAAUGGUGGUGGGGCCUACACAUGGCAUAGCCUCCUAGAUUUGUUGAACGAUAAAUAGUACCAUACUGCAUUAUUGAUUGAGAAAUCCAAUAAAAAGUAUUCUGCAAUUUUA